AACGAACGCUGGCGGCAUGCCUAACACAUGCAAGUCGAACGAGAUCUUCGGGUCUAGUGGCGCACGGGUGCGUAACGCGUGGGAAUCUGCCCUUUGGUUCGGAAUAACAGUUGGAAACGACUGCUAAUACCGGAUGAUGACGAAAGUCCAAAGAUUUAUCGCCAGAGGAUGAGCCCGCGUAGGAUUAGCUAGUUGGUGUGGUAAAGGCGCACCAAGGUGACGAUCCUUAGCUGGUCUGAGAGGAUGAUCAGCCACACUGGGACUGAGACACGGCCCAGACUCCUACGGGAGGCAGCAGUGGGGAAUAUUGGACAAUGGGCGAAAGCCUGAUCCAGCAAUGCCGCGUGAGUGAUGAAGGCCUUAGGGUUGUAAAGCUCUUCUACCCGGGAUGAUAAUGACAGUAUCGGGAGAAUAAGCUCCGGCUAACUCCGUGCCAGCAGCCGCCGUAA
rnacentral:rRNA from 1 species